rnacentral:rRNA from 1 species
AAUAUUACACAUACUUGCUUGGCAAUUCUGAUCAAAAGCUAAGCAGGGCCUGGCCUGGUUAGCACUUGGAUGGGAGACCACUGGGAAUACCAGAUGCCACAGUG